rnacentral:SRP_RNA from 1 species
AGUGGCUAUGGUGGUACAUAUCUGUAAUCCCUACUACUAGGGGAAGUUGAAGCUGGUGGAUCAUUUGAGCUCUAGAAUUUUGAGCUGAAAUAGGCCCAAAGCUAAUCAAAUGUCCCUACUAAGUCUUGCACCAAUAUAGUGAGUCUCUGGGAAUAAAGGGUCACCAGACUGCCUAAGGAGGUGUGAACUGGCCCAGAUCAGAAAUGGAGCAGGCCAAAGCUUCCAUGCCGAUCAGCAGUGGCAUUAGUUGCUUGAGUGAUGACCACACUCACCACCUGGGUGAAAUGGGAAGG